rnacentral:tRNA from 1 species
GGAGAGAUACCUAAGUGGACAAAAGGAGCAGACUGUAAAUUUGCCGCGGAAGCUUCGUAGGUUCGAAUCCUUCUCUCUCCA